UACGAGGGGGGCGAGCGUUUGUUCGGAAUUAUUGGGCGUAAAGGGUGCGUAGGCGGUUCGGUAAGUUUCGUGUGAAAUCUUCGGGCUCAACUCGAAGUCUGCACGAGAUACUGCCGGGCUUGAGUGUGGGAGAGGUGAGUGGAAUUUCCGGUGUAGCGGUGAAAUGCGUAGAUAUCGGAAGGAACACCUGUGGCGAAAGCGGCUCACUGGACCAUAACUGACGCUGAGGCGCGAAAGCUAGGGGAGCAAACAGG
rnacentral:rRNA from 1 species